rnacentral:rRNA from 1 species
UACAGAGGUCUCAAGCGUUGUUCGGAUUCAUUGGGCGUAAAGGGUGCGUAGGCGGCCAUCUAAGUCGGACGUGAAAUCCCUCGGCUUAACCGGGGAACUGCGUCCGAUACUGGAGGGCUUGAGUGUGGGAGAGGGAUGCGGAAUUCCAGGUGUAGCGGUGAAAUGCGUAGAUAUCUGGAGGAACACCGGUGGCGAAGGCGGCAUCCUGGACCAUGACUGACGCUGAGGAGCGAAAGCCAGGGGAGCAAACGGG